rnacentral:rRNA from 1 species
GCUACGGGAGGCUGCAGUGGGGAAUAUUUCGCAAUGGGCGAAAGCCUGACGCAGCGACGCCGCGUGAGGGAUGCAGGUCUUCGGAUCGUAAACCUCUGUCAGCAGGGAAGAACGGUCACUGUGCUAAUCAGCAGUGAAUUGACGGUACCUGCAAAGGAAGCACCGGCUAACUCCGUGCCAGCAGCCGCGGUAAUACGGAGGGUGCGAGCGUUACUCGGAAGUACUGGGCGUAAAGCGCUAGUAGGCGGUAUGUCAAGUCAAGGGUGAAAUCCCCGCGAUUAACGGGGGAACUGCCUUUGAGACUGGCAAACUGGAGUGUGUGAGAGGAUAGUGGAA